rnacentral:rRNA from 1 species
UACGAGGGGGGCAAAUGUUGUUCGGAAUCACUGGGCGUAAAGGGAGCGUAGGCGGGUGUUUAAGUUAGGUGUUUAAUCCCAGGGCCCAACCCUGGUCGUGCACUUAAAACUGGACAUCUUGAAUAGGGGAGAGGUCAGUGGAAUUGGGGGUGUAGCGGUGGAAUGCGUAGAGAUCCGGAGGAAGACCGGUGGCGAAGGCGGCCUGCUGGGCAGAUACUGACACUGAGGCGCGACAGCGUGGGGAGCAAACAGG